rnacentral:sRNA from 1 species
AAUAUUCUGGAAAUAAAAAAUUGGAUUUGAAAGUACAGCAUCACAAAAGGUCUGAAAUAUUUUAAUUUAGAAUUUGGACUAUAGAAGAAUAGCAUAACUUCAAUUAUUGGUUAAUAUUUUUGUUAUGAAAUUUUUUUAUAAUAAGAUGGUGACUAAAAUAUUACUAUUUUAAACAUGUCCUAGAUUUUUUUUUGUUUCAGAAAAGCACUGAAAGUUGAAUAUGUGUAAGUCUCCGGGAAUGUAACAAGUUGAUAAAUACCCAAGUCCAGCCUCCUUACAGAGAAAAGAUCUGGAAUUUCUUUUUUUGGACAUUUGUUUUGCAGCUUUCUACGUCUUAAGGCAGAGAAUAGCCAGGAUAAGGUGCCAGCUCAAAGCUGUGUGCCAACCACGAUGCAAACAUGGUGAAUGUAUCGGGCCAAACAAGUGCAAGUGUCAUCCUGGAUAUGCUGGAAAAACCUGUAAUCAAGAUCUAAAUGAGUGUGGCCUGAAGCCUCGGCCCUGUAAGCACAGGUGCAUGAACACUUACGGCAGCUACAAGUGCUACUGUCUCAACGGAUAUAUGCUCAUGCCGGAUGGUUCCUGCUCAAGUGCCCUGACCUGCUCCAUGGCAAACUGUCAGUAUGGCUGUGAUGUUG